AGUGAACGCUGGCGGCGUGCCUAAUACAUGCAAGUCGAACGGAGUGGCGCACGGGUGUGUAAUGUAUAGCUAAUCUGUCCUACUCUACAGGACACAAGAUGGAAACGACUGCUAAUACUCUAUAGUGUAGGAUGAGGUUAUAUUGUAUCAGCUAGUUGGUGAGGGAAUGGCUGACCAAGGCUAUGACGCAUAACUGGUCUGAGAGGAUGAUCAGUCACCCUGGAACGUAGACACGGUGCAGACUCCUACGGGAGGGAGCAGUAGGGAAUAGGGCUCAAUGGGGGAAACCCUGAAGCAGCAACGCCGCGUGGAGGAUGACACUUUUCGGAGCGUAAACUCCUUUUGUUAGGGAAGCGGUACCUAACGAAUAAGCACCGGCUAACUCCGUGCCAGCCGCCGCGGUAAUAC
rnacentral:rRNA from 1 species